rnacentral:rRNA from 1 species
GAUGAACGCUGGCGGCGUGCCUAAUACAUGCAAGUCGAGCGAACAGACGAGGAGCUUGCUCCUCUGACGUUAGCGGCGGACGGGUGAGUAACACGUGGAUAACCUACCUAUAAGACUGGGAUCACUUCGGGAAACCGGAGCUAAUACCGGAUAAUAUAUUGAACCGCAUGGUUCAAUAGUGAAAGACGGUUUUGCUGUCACUUAUAGAUGGAUCCGCGCCGCAUUAGCUAGUUGGUAAGGUAACGGCUUACCAAGGCGACGAUGCGUAGCCGACCUGAGAGGGUGGUCGGCCACACUGGAACGGAGACACGGUCCAGACUCCUACGGGAGGCAGCAGUAGGGAAUCUUCCGCAAUGGGCGAAAGCCUGACGGAGCAACGCCGCGUGAGUGAUGAAGGUCGUCGGAUCGUAAAACUCUGUUAUUGGGGAAGAACAAAUGUGUAAGUAACUAUGCGCGUCUUGACGGUACCUAAUCAGAAAGCCACGGCUAACUACGUGC